CUUCACUCCGCGGAGACCAGCGUCCCGCACCUCGAGAGCGCUCGCUCACUUCUCCCACGUCCCCCACCUUUGCUGCCGACGAGAAAUCAGGCGAGCACCUCCAAACCUCCCUGGAAUGGAACCUUGACUCAGUUCUUCAGUUGAAGGAUGAAGCCGAGUUUUUACCACCUGUAUUUCAGACAAUCUUUGAACUGGUUAAAAGAGAAGUUAACUGAAGUUUGCCUUCCUGAUCUAAGCUUUAACCCAGCCUACAAUCCUACAGGGAUAAUGCUCAGUAACAUGGGAGGAAAUGUCAUCCUGGUUGCAAAAAUAUCUGCCUGUCAGAAGUCGGGAGGACUGACUUCGGGAGGAGGCGGUGAGUCAGACUUGCAGGCGGAGGGGAGGAGGGCUCGAGUGAGCCUCCUCAGUCCGGAGGUUUCCUGGGCAACCGCUAGCGCAGCGAUUAACUGCACAGAAGCACGAGGUUUCCACUCACAACGACCAGGAGGAUGUACUUAAAAAUAAAUAAAUAAAAGGAAACAGACCGUGUUUCUCCUGCUGUGGAACACUCCCCGUCGCAGGCUGGACUGCAGGUGCUGAAUUCCGCUUCAGUGAGCCAUGUGGCGCCUGCGCAGGGCCCCGGCGGAAGAGGGCAGUCCUGUGAGAUGCGCUGCUCCUGCCUCAGGCCUGUCUGUCCAUCUGCUGCCGGGCGGCCUGCCUCUGUCCUGAGUACCUGUGAUCUGACACCUGAUUUUCCAUGACCCCUGCCUCUGUCCGAGGCAUCGUCAUUGGUUGCAGACCCUCCCUGUCAACUCGCAUCCCACAAGGCAAGUGCAGCUGGCUGUUCUUUCUGAAACACGGUGGCAUGUUGUGCUUUGAUUUGGAGGGGAGUCAUUAUGGGCACCUGCGCUGCCCUCUGUGGUUCAGGUGCCAGGCCGAGUCGUGUGCAGGAACCCCAUCGCGGCUGGAUGGCUCUGCGCCCGUCCCACCCCCGUUCUACCCCGUUCUUCACAGACAAGGGGAACAUGAGCAUUUUGCUCUGGGAGACGUGAGUUUCAGUAAUAGAAUGUUCUUAUGUGCGGUCUGUGGUGUGGCCCAGGGAAAAGGUGUGUGAGGGGCACUGUGGUGCCUCUUUUGCCUCUUCAUACGUCCUUUGUGUCUGGGAGCCCCUGACCUUUGUAUCUCGCCUCUGAGCUACCUGUUCUCUGAUGGGCUGUCGGGGGCUAGCACUCCCUCUCCCCCUACCCCUCAGCUCACAGGGAGAUGGCCCCGUAGACACUGCUCGGUAGAUAUUGGUUUGCUGAGCAUCCAGGGCUGCCAGUGAGAGGACCCAGCACUGCCCCUCUGUGACCAGAGACCAUGUGUGUGGCAGCCCAGUGUGGCGCGGCCAAGACCCUUAGAUCUGUGCUGGAGCCAAUAGCACCUCAAGGGUCUGAGACCCUUGAAGGUUGUCGGUGCGUGCUGGGCUCACGGGCGGAAUACUGUCUUCCACCUGCCUACCCCUGUCUUGGGUAUCCGGGAUCCCCGCUCCUCUGUCAGGCAGGGGAGUGGAGCACAGACCUCAUCCUGACUCCCCCAACUCCUGCUGUUGACUCACACAGCCUCCUUGAGAAGGCUCAUGGGACCAGUGGAAAUUGAGGGAGAAAAUAAUGGGGUCACACACUGAAGGCUGGCUUGGUGUCCUGUGGGGAGGUGGAGGGCACCGUGUGCUGUGGAAGGCGGCGUCCUCUCUGCCGCACUGUCUCAUCCGCCUCUCAGUCAGUGGGUGGUGCCUCUCGCUGUCGUCAUGCUCAGCGUGGAACUGUUUCACACAGGAUUUUCACUGUUCUCUCUGGUGCCUAUUUUGGGGGUGCUUCCCAGCCAGUGCUCAAAGGGUCCCGUUCAUGGAUUUUCAGUGGAACCAGGUCACAUGGGUUCAGUGUGAGGGCUUGAGGGGUGGUGCGUUUGAGCCCUGCAAUGUUGGGACCACCAGGGGUGCACCCAGUAGCGUUUGGGGUGCUGUGUGGUGCCCAGAAUCCACCCAUUUUUAGGUGCAUGUAAAGCAUAUGCCCUCACUUCAAACCCUGUAGGAAAAUGGGCAUGUGGAGGAAACCCCCCAAGUGUUGGACUCCCUCCAGGAUGGUGCCGCCCAUUCCAGUACCAGUUUGACCCAUGAUCCCUGGAUAUGUUAAUACGGGGAAGGUUGCUCUCACUGUGCCUGGUGGAGAUUCUGGCGUUGCAUUUGCUGGAGCCUCCAGGAAGUCAUGUAUGUAGAGAAACACCUUGAGUCCUUAGCUUGGUGUCACUAAGGUGUCGCCCUGGAGAGAGCCCCCUAGCACCGCUGGCUGUGUCCCUGGUGACCCAGAAGCAGCCCCAUGUGGGUGGCUCCGGUGGUCCCUGGCACUGCUGGGUCUGGGCGGCACUGUGUCCUUGGGCUCUUGCUUUGGGGCAUCGGGCUCACUCAUCCAUGUAUUGUUGGGAGUGGCCCCCGAAUCUCAGAGCACUGCUUGGGAGCCUCCCUCUCACUUCCGAAAAAGGUCAGUGAAAAAUGAAGGAAAAGAUGAAUACACGUCCUUGAAACAUUCACAGUGGAUUUUUGGAGGCCACAGGGUCCCCUGGGGCCUGCAAGGAUACAGUCAACCGUGGGAGCAGAAGCCUGGCCAGGACAGCUUCUGGACAGCGCUUUCCUGAGAUCUGCCGGCAUACGGGGCCUGGGUUUGGCAUGCCAUUGCUCUCAGGCUGGUUAUUUUGCAGCAGCUAAAACUAUUUAAAGCUAUUCAUUGCAUAUAACUUAAUUCAUUAUACACGAAAAAAAUCUUCCUUGUACUAAUCUCCCUCCACUCCCCCGCAAUACAGUCUUUCUCAAUACUUGGGGAGCACAGCCUAGGAAAUGCUGAUUAAAGAUCUUGGAGGAUAAUUAGUGCAGAUUGGUGAGGUUGAAGAGAAACUGUUCUGGGUCGGGGCACCCUGCUUCAGCUCUAGUCUUGAAGAAGAUGAAUGCUGGUGUUAAUUGAGUUUCAUCUGGAUAGUGGGGCUCUCCGCCCACGAGAGUCCACGCUGGUGCCUUCCUCUCCCCCUCACCACUGCCAGCCGCUCUCUGGAGGUGGUGGAGUGAGGAGCUGAUUUGUUAUUUUUUCCUCUGCAGCAAUGAGUUGCUAUGAUCUGCAAUUUUGGGGGAAAAGGGAGCAGAGACACUAUUGAGAGGGAAAAAAAUAACCCAGACACCUACCUCCUAAGCUUAAACUAUGUAUUAGGAAAUCUGGAUGGUCAUGGUAGUCUUAAGGUCCAAUAUCUCAAGCCUAGUUUUUGAAAACGUUGGACAUAGUUUGGCAUAUGAAUUUUGACACAGAUGAUGCCAGCCUUACGUCCUUACGUACUUACAGUGAGACUGGAGAGGGGGAUUGCACUUGUGAAGCUCUAAAUUUGAUCGCCAGCACCACCAAAAAAAAAAAAAAAGAAAAGAGAGAAAGAAAAAUAACGAGAAGCUGAGGGUUAACUCAUGCAGAAAGGGAAAGCCAAGCGAAGGGGGAGGCUGCGUCAUGACCGGGUUUUAUGGCAGAGCCCGCUGGUGUCCCCUGGGCCCCACAACUCCCUCUCUAGAGAUGCUGGCGCUUUGCUCCAGAACCAGGUGUUUGGCAGCUUCAUGGCCGUGCAGUGAACUUCUGGCUUAUUCUUGGUUGUUUCCAGAAUCUUCCCUAAAGGACCGUAUGUGUCUCCCUUGCUGUUUAUACAUGUUUCUCCCAGUGUUCUGUUCAGGAAUGUGGGUGUUAUGUCUCGGAUCCCAGCUUCAGAAUGGAGGCUGUACCAUGUGGGACUUUGACCUGAGGGGGGAAGAAACACCUCUUGUUUAAGUUCCGCUCUUGCUACUUUGGUACUUCCUGCCACUCUCAGCCAAACCUAACUUGAGCCUGGCAAAGGCAGUUGUACUUUACUUACAGCUCUUAGUUCUGCACUUAUAUUCCGAUUUUCACUGAGACGAUUCCAAGGUGGGGUUAUUAGGAAGGAAGCAACAUGCCCUCAAGCACAACAGUUAUGUGAUCCUGUGUGCCAGCUUUGUGAUGCUCAGGUCGCCAAGAGCGUCAUCCUUGCUCGAUGAACAAGCACACAGCCUCAAGAAGGCCACGUGGCACUUGGUUUUGUAACAUUCAUGCUUUGGCAGAGCUCCAGGUUUGUGGAUUUUUUUUUAAAAAAAAAAGACGUUGGGUUUUUCAGAGAAAUUCACUUGCGGCUUUUUGAAAGUGACAAACAUGUUAACUGUUUUUCAGUCAAUAAUAGUCUUUUUUUUUUAUUUCAAAGAAACCUGUAUUGUUCUUCUAUUUUCUUCACUUUUGUCACUUGGCGAUUGGGACAUCUCUGCGAAAGAAUAGUUCAAAGAGGGAGUUUGUAGUUCUCUAUCCUUAGUAGUAUCCACAUUAAAGGAAAAGAAUCUUAAAAAAAAAAAAUUCUGAGUAAGUGACAACUCCAGAACAUUCCCCAGGUGGUGAUGUAGAAAUGAGGGUUCGGGUGGCCUGAGCGUGGCUCUGAAGUCAGCAUAUGCCACGUGGAGGCCAAGGAGAACAGGACGUGAGAUGCCGGGCGCUGGCUGCUGGCCUGGACUGGAGUGGGCAGGCUGGCAGACCAGGCCUGAGGGCAGGUGGGGCCCAGCGGGUCUGGGGAGCUGGUAAACCAGGCCCAGUGCUAACAACUCAUUGGCAGCAGAAGCUGCAGUUGAAACAGGCAUCUUGACCCACUGCCAGAGCUCCUUCAAAGCCAUUCCCUUUUGUCAUCUCAGAGUGAACACUUAAUUAGCACAGCAGCCUCUGAGUGUGUUUCUGGGAACACUAAAUCUGCAGGUCUCCUGCAUUAAAAAAAAAAAAAAAGAUUCUGUGGCAAAUAAAAUUGGAACUAUGUGGUGGUCUUACUCACCUCCUGAAAAUCCACAGGGCACUCUUAGCACACUUAAGUCGACGGAUGAGUCUAAGAUGUAAUGGGCCCUGUUAAACUUUGUUUACCCCAGUUUCUGCAAAUGAAAAUUGUGUCUUCUUAAACUUGGAACUCCUUUCUGAUUCUCUUAAUGAGCAGUUAGCAUUGGUCUUGGAAAUUACCCUCAGAGUGGGUCGAGUGUCUGAGAAAAACGCAUGA